rnacentral:pre_miRNA from 1 species
UAUCUUUCAAAGACCUUCAUUGUUCUUGAAAUUCGACGAUGAAGGUCUUUGGAACGGUA